CUCGAGUAAAAUAAAUUGUGGUGGGGGUAAGCGCUUCUCUCACCUGCUCGUAUCGCAAACUCACCUUUCUUGUGUUGAACAGAACGCAGCGCAGUGGCCGGUUGAAACGUCGUGCGUUAACAUACGUUCCGUUAUUAUUCAUUGUUUUCUAUAUUUCUAUCUCACACCGAAUUCUCCUUGACUUGACUGAAAAAAAAAAAAAAAAGACAGACGACACAUCUUCUUUCGUGUGUUUCAAGAACUGGUGUGGUAAUUUAUUUCACCGACCUACUCGCGAUUAUUUCCUACGUAAAUGCGUGUUCGAUACGUCAUCGUGGUAUCUUCGAAGUAGGUGGUAUGCAAUGUAUCCCCGUGUGUGUAUAAAUGUGUGAAUGUGUGUUUGUAUAUCUAUCGUAUAGCAGUAAUAGUAAUCUCAUCGAAAUGACUAUAGAAACGUGUUUCUGUGUUGUCAACCGCAAGUGUUGUGGCACGUGUAACCGAUUCUUCUAAUUGCAAUUAACAUUAUUAAAAAAAAAAAAAA